CCUACGGGAGGCAGCAGUGAGGAAUAUUGGUCAAUGGACGAGAGUCUGAACCAGCCAAGUCGCGUGAAGGAUGACUGCCCUAUGGAUUGUAAACUUCUUUUAUAGGGGAAUAAAAGAGGGUAUGCAUACCGUUCCGAAUGUACCAGAUGAAUAAGCAUCGGCUAACUCCGUGCCAGCAGCCGCGGUAAUACGGAGGAUCCGAGCGUUAUCCGGAUUUAUUGGGUUUAAAGGGAGCGUAGGUGGGUUGUUAAGUCAGUUGUGAAAGUUUGCGGCUCAACCGUAAAAUUGCAGUUGAUACUGGCAGUCUUGAGUACAGUUGAGGUAGGCGGAAUUCGUGGUGUAGCGGUGAAAUGCUUAGAUAUCACGAAGAACCCCGAUUGCGAAGGCAGCUCACUAAACUGCAACUGACACUGAUGCUCGAAAGUGUGGGUAUCAAACAGGAUUAGAUACCCUUGUAGUC
rnacentral:rRNA from 1 species